UCCGGUUUGUCACCGGCAGUCUCCUUAGAGUGCCCAACUGAAUGCUGGCAACUAAGGACAAGGGUUGCGCUCGUUGCGGGACUUAACCCAACAUCUCACGACACGAGCUGACGACAACCAUGCACCACCUGUCACCUCUGCCCCGAAGGGAAGAUGUAUCUCUACACCGAUCAGAGGGAUGUCAAGCCCUGGUAAGGUUCUUCGCGUUGCUUCGAAUUAAACCACAUGCUCCACCGCUUGUGCGGGCCCCCGUCAAUUCCUUUGAGUUUCAGCCUUGCGGCCGUACUCCCCAGGCGGAGUGCUUAUUGCGUUAGCUGCGGCACUAAGGGCUGGUCACCCCUAACACCUAGCACUCAUCGUUUACGGCGUGGACUAC
rnacentral:misc_RNA from 1 species